CCUACGGGAGGCAGCAGUGGGGAAUAUUGGGCAAUGGACGCAAGUCUGACCCAGCAACGCCGCGUGAAGGAAGAAGGCUUUCGGGUUGUAAACUUCUUUUAAGGGGGAAGAGCAGAAGACGGUACCCCUUGAAUAAGCCACGGCUAACUACGUGCCAGCAGCCGCGGUAAUACGUAGGUGGCAAGCGUUGUCCGGAUUUACUGGGUGUAAAGGGCGUGCAGCCGGAGAGACAAGUCAGAUGUGAAAUCCACGGGCUCAACCCGUGAACUGCAUUUGAAACUGUUUCCCUUGAGUGUCGGAGAGGUAAUCGGAAUUCCUUGUGUAGCGGUGGAAUGCGUAGAUAUUAGGAGGAACACCAGUGGCGAAGGCGGCUUACUGGAUUAUAACUGACGCUGAGGCUCGAAAGCGUGGGUAGCAAACAGGAUUAGAUACCCCGGUAGUC
rnacentral:rRNA from 1 species